rnacentral:rRNA from 1 species
UACGGGGGAUGCAAGCGUUAUCCGGAAUCAUUGGGCGUAAAGCGCCUGUAGGUUGUUUAAUAAGUCUGUUGUUAAAGACUAGGGCUCAACCCUAGGAAAGCAAUGGAAACUACUAGACUUGAGUAUGGCAGGGGUAGAGGGAAUUUCUAGUGUAGCGGUGAAAUGCGUAGAUAUUAGAAAGAACACCGGUGGCGAAAGCGCUCUACUGGACCAUUACUGACACUCAGAGGCGAAAGCUAGGGUAGCAAAAGGGAUUAGAUACCCCUGUAGUCCUAGCCGUAAACGAUGGAUACUAGAUGUUGUGCUUUAUGUACAGUGUCCUAGCUAACGCGUUAAGUAUCCCGCCUGGGGAGUACGCUCGCAAGGGUG